ACGAUAACGGCGUCGAGCGGCGGACGGGUGAGUAAUGCCUAGGAAAUUGCCCUGAUGUGGGGGAUAACCAUUGGAAACGAUGGCUAAUACCGCAUGAUGCCUACGGGCCAAAGAGGGGGACCUUCGGGCCUCUCGCGUCAGGAUAUGCCUAGGUGGGAUUAGCUAGUUGGUGAGGUAAGGGCUCACCAAGGCGACGAUCCCUAGCUGGUCUGAGAGGAUGAUCAGCCACACUGGAACUGAGACACGGUCCAGACUCCUACGGGAGGCAGCAGUGGGGAAUAUUGCACAAUGGGCGCAAGCCUGAUGCAGCCAUGCCGCGUGUGUGAAGAAGGCCUUCGGGUUGUAAAGCACUUUCAGUCGUGAGGAAGGUGGUAGUGUUAAUAGCACUAUCAUUUGACGUUAGCGACAGAAGAAGCACCGGCUAACUCCGUGCCAGCAGCCGCGGUAAUACGGAGGGUGCGAGCGUUAAUCGGAAUUACUGGGCGUAAAGCGCAUGCAGGUGGUUUGUUAAGUCAGAUGUGAAAGCCCGGGGCUCAACCUCGGAAUUGCAUUUGAAACUGGCAGACUAGAGUACUGUAGAGGGGGGUAGAAUUUCAGGUGUAGCGGUGAAAUGCGUAGAGAUCUGAAGGAAUACCGGUGGCGAAGGCGGCCCCCUGGACAG
rnacentral:rRNA from 1 species